CUUGGACGCAACAGGUGCACAGGAUCGGCGGGCGACAGCAGUUUUUUUUUUAUUUUUAUCUACAGUUUACUCAUGGUAAUAAUGAUGAGUUUUAUUGUGCACA